GAUGAACGCUGGCGGCGUGCCUAAUACAUGCAAGUCGAACGCACGGGCGAGAAGCUUGCUCUUCUGAUGUGAGCGGCGGACGGGUGAGUAACGCGUGGAUAACCUACCUAUUAGCCGGGGAUAACUAUGGGAAACGGGAGCUAAUACCGGAUGACAUUUUGUACCGCAUGGUUUAUAUGUGAAAGACGGUCUUGCUGCACUACAUGGUGGGCUUCCGGUUUCUUUGCCUGGUUGGGAAGUUAACGGUCUACUAAGGGAAGAUUGAUUGGCCGACUGGGGAGGGGGGUCGCCAACACGGGAACUGAGACAGGGUCCAGACUCCUACGGAGGGCACCAGAGGGGAAUCUUGGGCAAUGGGGGAAAGCCUGACGGAGCAACGCGGCGGGAGGAAGGAGGGUCUUGGGUUCGUAAAACUCGGUUAUUGGGGAAGAACAGAUGUGGAAGGGAAAGUGCACAUCGUGACGGUACCUAAUCAGAAAGCCACGGCUAACUACGUG
rnacentral:rRNA from 1 species